AGGUGGAACUGAUUUUUUUCUUCCAAUGAUCCAGGACUCAGAAGCCAAACACACGGGUGUUCAUUUUAGUAACUGGUGAGACCUUGGUUGGAGAAGUCUGACACGCUGCUGUUCCGAGGGAAUAUCAGAAGACAGACAUUCCAGCUCAACCAUUUCAGGAACAACACUGAGUGCUGUCACUGUUUCAGAUGCAGAUGAUACAUUCGUGUUGGCUGAAUACAAUCCCACUGUGCAACGUAUCACAUGUCUACAAGCCAUUCCUCGGUUGAUGGACAUCUGGGCUGAUUUCGAUUCCUAGCCGCUGGGAACAGAGCAUCACUCACCAUGGAUGGACAAAUGAUAGAGAGAGUUUUCAUCUACUCACCAGUUGAUGAUUUUCAAAGAGCAACACGGAGAAUGCCUGGGCCCUUCCUACAGGGCGACACAAGACUUAAAUAGAAUAGUCAUUGCAUCUGACUGCUAUAAUAAAAUUCCACAGACUGUGUGGCAAGAGCAUAGAAAUUUAUGUUCUCUCAGUUUUACAAGCUAGACAUCUGUGGUCAAGGGAGGGUCCUAGGAGAGAAGAAAAGACACUUGAAGCCACUGAGGGUGACAGAUGGAGAUGUUCUACACAGCAGAGAUGCUGCUUGUAAAGCUUCUGUUGCCCUGAGAAAGGCCAUAACUAAGGUGUUUGGAGAAAUGGCUUGGCGGUUGAGAGCACUGGCUGUUCUUCCAGAUGAUCUGGGUCCAA
ensembl:processed_transcript Gm22000 predicted gene 22000